GUAACAUAUGGCCUGUAGCUAAAAGGAGCAGUCUUAGGCCUUUAGUUUUGGGAACUCCCAGGAGUUCUCUCCCCAGGGAAUUCAGCUGCUCUGAACCAAGCUCCUGUUCAGGCUCUCCUAAGGGCUCUGGCAUGCUAUGUCCUCCCUGUGGGCACCUCUUUCUGACUGCAGCAGCCUGCUAUGCCUCCAGCCUGGGACACCCAUGUGGUAAUCUCCCUUUUGUUCCUGCUCUCUUAUGUCUCCUCUAUGGGCUAAGUGUCAACCCAAGCUGCCUGCUUUGUUUACUGUUACUACAGAAGCCAAACAGGUGUGCCAGGAAACUUCUCUCACCUCC